UACGAAGGGGGCUAGCGUUGUUCGGAAUCACUGGGCGUAAAGGGCGCGUAGGCGGCGCAACAAGUCACUUGUGAAAUCUCCGGGCUUAACCCGGAGCGGCCAAGUGAUACUGUCGUGCUAGAGUGCGGAAGGGGCUACUGGAAUUCUCGGUGUAGCGGUGAAAUGCGUAGAUAUCGAGAGGAACACCGGUGGCGAAGGCGGGUCUCUGGGCCGAUGACUGACGCUGAGGAGCGAAAGCGUGGGGAGCGAACAGG
rnacentral:rRNA from 1 species